CUAUUAACCGAAGCAACUGCUUUCUUUUUCUUUUUAUUGUACUCCAUUUUGAGGUUUGGAUUCUCCUGUUGCAAUUUUUGGAACCAAGUGGCAGAGUUUCUGUGCUUCUGUAAUGG